CCCUUCUUUUUAAAGCACCCUGCUAAAACUGCGACAGUCGAGGCUUUGAUGCCUAGCUCUUGUGGCCGUGUAAGCAUGGGUACACCAUGGAAGGAGAGCAUAAGCACAGUUUCGAAAGUGAGGCAUGGGAGGACCUCUUUCUUAAUGUCCAGUAUCCUUUGGCUCAAGAUGCUGUGCAACAGAC
ensembl:snoRNA small nucleolar RNA SNORA81